rnacentral:misc_RNA from 1 species
AAAAUAAUCCUACCCUUUGUGAAUUUUGUUUGUUUGAAUAAUUUUUUUUUUAAAAAAUUAUUGGAGUCUUUCCCUUUAGAGUUUGCUUUUGAGUUUGUAAAAGAAUUCGAAAACAUCUAAAGGGGAUGGUCAAUAAUUUUUUUGAAAAAAGACAUUUUUUAAAAUUAAACUUUUUGUAUUCAUUUGUCUAAAAAUUAUUUUUAUAAUAUAAAAACAACUUUUGACAAUGGAUCUCUUGGUUCUCGCAACGAUGAAGAACGCAGCAAAAUGCGAUAAGUAGUGUGAAUUGCAGAAUACGUGAAUCAUCGAAUCUUUGAACGCAUAUUGCACUUUUUUAGUUUACUAAAAAAGUAUGUCUGUUUGAGUAUCAGUAAAAUAUUCUCAUAAAAAUCAUUGUAUUUUUAUGGUUAUGAGUGUUUUACAACGAUACAAGUUGUUUCACUUUAAAUUUUUUUUAAUAUUGAAAUUUUUCUAAUUUUAAUAAUUAAAAUUGGAUAAAAUUUUCCCGUCAAAAGGAAUAACCUAAACAAUUUUAAAUGAUUAAUUUUAGCAAAAUUUUCGUAAAAAAGGAAAAUUUUUAUUAAAAUAACUUGAUCUCAAAUCAGAUAAGAGUACCCGCUGAACUUAAGCAUAUCAAUAAGCGGAGGAAAAGAAACUAACAAGGAUUCCCUUAGUAACGGCGAGUGAAGCGGGAAGAGCUCAAAUUUGAAAUCUUCAAGGUUUUACCUUGACGAAUUGUAGUUUAAAGAAGUGUUUUCUGCUGAAGUUUUGGUAAAAGUUCUUUGGAAUAGGACAUCAUAGAGGGUGAGAAUCCCGUAUUUGACCAUUAUUUUCAGCUUUGUGAUACACUUUCAAAGAGUCGGAUUGUUUGGGAAUGCAGUCCAAAGUGGGUGGUAAAUUUCAUCUAAAGCUAAAUAUUGGCGAGAGACCGAUAGCGAACAAGUACCGUGAGGGAAAGAUGAAAAGAACUUUGAAAAGAGAGUUAAACAGUACGUGAAAUUGUCAAAAGGGAAGCGUUUGACACCAGUGUUGUUUUCUCGAAAAUCAAUUAAAAAUGGCUCGAUUUUGUAUUGCUGAGACCUUAAAAGCUCACUGUACAUUUUUCGUGUCUUUUUUAAUGCACUUUUCGUUUAACAAGUCAACAUCAGUUUCUUUUGUUGUAAAAGGGUCAUUGGAAGGUGGCUUUCUUUUCGGAGAAAGUGUUUAUAGCCUUUGGCCUCUGCAAUCGAAGAGACUGAGGUCUGCAGCGUAGACUCUUCGGGGUUAGAUACAUUUGUGCUAAGUUAUAGCUUUUUAUAGACAACUUGUUGACUAUAAUUAGUCUUGUAGCUUACUCGCUUAUGCUAUUUUAC